rnacentral:rRNA from 1 species
UGUAUUCUACCCUUGUUUGUCAUAUACUAUUAUUUCCUCGGCAGGCUUGCCUGCCGAGUGAAACCAUUUAUAACCUUUUUAAUUUUCAAUCAGCGUCUGAAAAAAAUUAAUAAUUACAACUUUCAACAACGGAUCUCUUGGUUCUGGCAUCGAUGAAGAACGCAGCGAAAUGCGAUAAGUAGUGUGAAUUGCAGAAUUCAGUGAAUCAUCGAAUCUUUGAACGCACAUUGCGCCCCUUGGUAUUCCAUGGGGCAUGCCUGUUCGAGCGUCAUUUGUACCUUCAAGCUUUGCUUGGUGUUGGGUGUUUGUCCCGCGGGACUCGCCUUAAAGUAAUUGGCAGCCAGUGUUUGGUUUUGAAGCGCAGCACAAGUCGCGAUUCAAGGCUACACGCCCGCUUCCACAAGCCUUUUUUCACUUUUGACCUCGGAUCAGGUAGGGAUACCCGCUGAACUUAAGCAUAUC